GGCUGGGUAGCUCAGUUGGUACGAGCGUCCGCCUGAAAAGCGGAAGGUCGCCGGUUCGACCCCGGCCUCAGCCA
rnacentral:tRNA from 1 species